GGGGUGGUGGCGCAGUUGUCUAGCGCGUAGGUCUCAUAGCUUGUUGAGUUAUCCUGAGGUCGAGAGUUCGAGCCUCUCUCACCCAA
rfam:Oryza brachyantha chromosome 5, whole genome shotgun sequence.